rnacentral:rRNA from 1 species
UACGUAGGGUGCGAGCGUUGCCCGGAUUUAUUGGGCGUAAAGGGUGCGUAGGCGGCGCGGUAAGUCGGGUGUGAAAUCUCGGGGCUUAACUCCGAAACUGCAUUCGAUACUGCCGUGCUUGAGGACUGGAGAGGAGACUGGAAUUUACGGUGUAGCGGUGAAAUGCGUAGAUAUCGUAAGGAAGACCAGUGGCGAAGGCGGGUCUCUGGACAGUUCCUGACGCUGAGGCACGAAGGUCAGGGGAGCAAACGGG